rnacentral:rRNA from 1 species
UACGUAGGGUGCGAGCGUUAAUCGGAAUUACUGGGCGUAAAGCGUGCGCAGGCGGUUCGUUAAGUCAGAUGUGAAAGCCCCGGGCUCAACCUGGGAACUGCAUUUGAAACUGGCGGGCUUGAGUGUGGCAGAGGGGGGUGGAAUUUCGCGUGUAGCAGUGAAAUGCGUAGAGAUGCGGAGGAACACCGAUGGCGAAGGCAGCCCCCUGGGCCAACACUGACGCUCAGGCACGAAAGCGUGGGGAGCAAACAGG